AGAGAAAGGAAGCUCAAAAAAGAGGUUGUGGCAGGGAAAAACCUGGACAUAUAGUAACCCUAUGGCUUUGGCAGUGAAUUGUCUGAUACAUUUUAAACUCUGCUGCUGUCACACCACCAAGCCUGGGAGGCUAGUGGACAAAGAAAUCUCCCCUGGAGCUGCCAAUUUUCUCCCAGUGUUGAUAAGGGGGUCACUGGCCUAGAAGAGCAGAGACCAGCACCAGCAGAAUCAGCACUUCAAAUCAAUACUGGGAAGACACUACAGUGUGCUAAGGCCCUGUCUACAUUAAAGAAGCUUCCGCCAAAGUAAUUAAUUACAGCAAUGACACAGAUGACUUCUAUGGGAUCAGGAGCAAUGGAGACCAUUCCAAGGACAGGACAGCUUAGAAAAUAAACAGCUAUCAAGCCCUUGCUGCUCUGCCCAACAAUGUUGCUGCUUAGUUUCUAUUGCAUUUGUUAACUGCUCCGUAGCAGAACCAGGAGCAGGACCACUCUCUCUUCUAACCUAGACAUGUAUUGUUAUUAUCCUUCAUAUCAGGAAACAGCCUUCUGAUGAGGUUUUCGGUAAUACCUGUUUGAGAGGAACUGGGCUGGUGAGAUCACAGUCACAUGAACUUGCAGGGACCAAAAUACCUUGGAGUCAUCAGGGGAGGUCUGCUUGCCCGUGGCAGAGGGACCAGUUGGAGGAAGUGGAACAUUUGCUCCCUUCUACCUGGAUCAGCAGAACAGAGGCAUGGUGAAAUGUUACCGUUGAGUAAGCUGCCUCGCAAGGAUCACCACCAUCAUCCCAGAAUUCAGAAUCAAUGCCAGUUAAGCAGGAGGAUGGUCACUGCCUGCCUGGGGACCCUGGUGCUGGGGGAAGGGAGUCUAUGUAUUGGUUCUCAAGAUGGGGGAUCUGAGUUAGAGGUUGAGGAGGUCUUGGGAUGAGGCUCUGGACUAAGAAGUGGGUUGGCUGGGGGUCUGGAGAAGGGAAGGAAGGCGGCAUGUCUGCUGUGGCCUAUGCUUGUAGCUUGACAUUCUGAUGUGAGUCAAAUGACACUAAGACACUUAGAAAAACCUUAUUAUUUGAUACUAAAACUACAACAUCCUCAAAAAGAAAAUAAACAACCAUCCUUCCAUUUGAUUUCAAGGGACAAUAAAAAUAUACAAAGCAGGGUUUUGAAAAUCACCUUUAAAUGCCCUAAAUACUGGAUAUGUGCUUAGUCAAAGCUGGAAUCAAUAAAAGUGGCUCUGGCAGUGAAUUUAUUUAUUUAUAUACAUUUUUUUUUUACAGAAGGGGCAGCAGGGGUAGAGAGGUGUCUCUUAAUGGAUUCCUGAUGUUGAACCGUAUGCAUACUAUAUGAGUAAAAGCUCUAGCAAUUUCCCAAGUAUUGCAAUUUGUAAUUUGUUUUUUAAGUUUCUAUGUAAAUAACUACACAGAGGGUAAUGUCUCCAUUACACUUAUUACUAUCCAUUUAUUAUUUUAAUGUUAUUAGUUUUUAAUACAAGGAGAUUAAAAAAUUAAUGGAAGACUGUGUAAACAAAUACUUUUUUUUUUUAGUGUACAAAAGACAGCUGCAUUGGCCAAUGUUACAUCUACUUUUUUGUAUUUAUAUUUCUAUAGCUAAAAAUCUUGCUUUAAGAAUUGCGGAACAAUUCAUUACAGAUGGCAUAUAGCACUUCUUGGCUUAGAAGUCACAAGUUUUCAUGUUAAAGGUCUUGUAGCUUCUCAAGUUAUGUUAACAAAUUAAAUGCAAUUAUUUGAUUUCUAAGUGUGAAUGUUUCACAGGAGGAAAAAUCUGGCAGAUAAAGAUCCUCACCAUCAUUUGAACACUCGAACUGGACUUCCUUUUCUGAAUUGACCAGUCAGAGAGAAAAGGAAAAGAAGAAAAUGUGACUGGUUGGAUUGAAAGUAUCAAUGCAUGGAGUACAGUAUAUUUUUGUUUUCAAAAAGACAGCCUAAGCUGCGGUAGAGAAGGAAAUACUUUUUUUGUGGGGGGAAGUUUCUACAUGAGAAAAAUGCUGAAAACAAAGACUCCCACGCAGGUAAACAUUUCCCCCCUUGCUUCACAUAACUUUGCAGGAAAAUGGUAAAAAACUGAAAUGUCCUGAAAAUCAUAAAUAUCAGAUCCCAACAAGUGUAAUAUUAGCAAACCAUUGAGGAUAAUUCUCAGCAACAUUGCUAUCAAAAUGGAGAUACAGCAGAUGCCAUUAUAAACCUGUAGGAAGAAUGGUAUUUAUAAAAAUACUAGCCUAACUGGAGCACAUAAAAUUCCUGCAUUCCACCAAGACGUGUUAAGGAAUCUGUAUUGCAAUGACCUAAUCAUACAGAAAGAUAUGCUUCUUCAUCCUCUCUAAGAUGCCCAUUAUUUGACUUUGGGUAACAUUCAGGUUAGAGUAUACUGAAUUCAUUUUAAGAGCCUUAACAUUUUUAAGUGUGAGAGAAUGUGUGUGUGUAAGUGCGUAAAGGACAAAUCUACUGUGAAUUGAGUAUUUAAGUAAGUAGCACUCUGUUAAAGAAAAGGAAGUUUAAGCAGAAAACUAAAAUUCAGGUCAAAGACACACUCCUGAGAAAUGAGGCAGAACUAAGAAGAGAAGGAAAGCUGGGGUGCUUUAUUUAGUCUUCAGGAAUCC